rnacentral:rRNA from 1 species
CCUACGGGAGGCAGCAGUGGGGAAUAUUGCGCAAUGGGGGAAACCCUGACGCAGCAACGCCGCGUGGAGGAAGAAGGUUUUCGGAUUGUAAACUCCUGUCUUUUGGGACGAAAAAAAUGACGGUACCAAAGGAGGAAGCCACGGCUAACUACGUGCCAGCAGCCGCGGUAAUACGUAGGGUGGCGAGCGUUGUCCGGAAUUAUUGGGCGUAAAGGGCGCGUAGGCGGCGUCUUAAGUCAGAUGUGAAAACCCGAGGCUUAACUUCGGGAGUGCAUUUGAAACUGGGAUGCUAGAGUGCAGGAGAGGAAAGUGGAAUUCCUAGUGUAGCGGUGAAAUGCGUAGAGAUUAGGAGGAACACCAGUGGCGAAGGCGACUUUCUGGACUGUAACUGACGCUGAGGCGCGAAAGCGUGGGGAGCAAACAGGAUUAGAUACCCCUGGUAGUCCACGCUGUAAACGAUGGAUACUAGGUGUGGGAGGUAUCGACCCCUUCCGUGCCGCAGUUAACGCAAUAAGUAUCCCGCCUGGGGAGUACGGCCGCAAGGUUGAAACUCAAAGGAAUUGACGG